UGGGGAAUAUUGCACAAUGGGCGCAAGCCUGAUGCAGCCAUGCCGCGUGUAUGAAGAAGGCCUUCGGGUUGUAAAGUACUUUCAGCGAGGAGGAAGGGAGUAAAGUUAAUACCUUUGCUCAUUGACGUUACCCGCAGAAGAAGCACCGGCUAACUCCGUGCCAGCAGCCGCGGUAAUACGGAGGGUGCAAGCGUUAAUCGGAAUUACUGGGCGUAAAGCGCACGCAGGCGGUUUGUUAAGUCAGAUGUGAAAUCCCCGGGCUCAACCUGGGAACUGCAUCUGAUACUGGCAAGCUUGAGUCUCGUAGAGGGGGGUAGAAUUCCAGGUGUAGCGGUGAAAUGCGUAGAGAUCUGGAGGAAUACCGGUGGCGAAGGCGGCCCCCUGGACGAAGACUGACGCUCAGGUGCGAAAGCGUGGGGAGCAAACAGG
rnacentral:rRNA from 1 species